AGUCUUGAAAGCGUACAGACUUGCUUGGUUGGAUAACAGUUCGUGUUAGUGAUGACUGGCACUGUUCUGGAUCUUCAGAAAAGUACAACAUCAAACUAAUUAGCGUAAUAUGUUUAAAUUCAGAUCAUAUUUUUUUUAAAGUUUAUUUUUCACGACGUUGUGUCCAGUGUGCAUACCUUUUAGUAGCUUUGGGACACCAAAGAUAAACUUUUAGCAAGCUGGUUGGCAAGCAUGCCUUGCUGGAUCCUUGAUGCUGAAGGACAUCUGCCUACCUGAUGGUAGAGGCAUCCUGCUACACUUACCCCUGUCGUCCUGUAGAGAUGGCCAUCGAUGACCGACUAGACUACACAACUCAAGGUGUUUACUUUGGAUGCCCUCCCAGGCACUCCUCCCAGGGCUUAAUGACUGGAUUUACUGCAUCAAUUAGCCAUCAGGGUCUCUGAGAGGCCUGGCUGGCUGAUCGAUUGUUCUCUAGCAGCUGAUGUCCCCUUGCCGUUCUGUUCUGCACUGCUCUGGACCAUGCUAACUGCUUGUCUGAAUGUAAACCUAGUACAAUGUAAUUAAAUCAAAUCAAACAUUU